rnacentral:misc_RNA from 1 species
UCUCCGUAGGUGAACCUGCGGAGGGAUCAUUACUGAGUGAGGGUCUCCGGGCCCGACCUCCAACCCCAUGUGAACCGAAACCUGUUGCUUCGGGGGCGACCCCGCCGUUUCGGCGGUGGCGCUCCCGGAGCCCAUCAAACCCUGCGUAACUAAGUCGUCGGAGUUUAAACAAAUUAAACAAAACUUUCAACAACGGAUCUCUUGGUUCGGGCAUCGAUGAAGAACGCAGC